rnacentral:rRNA from 1 species
UUGGUUGUAAAAUUUGCUAAGAUAGAUUGAAAUUGGAUUUAUAAAAAAUAAUUAAAAUAAUGUUCAAGUAGUAAUUAACAAAAGAUUUUUUAGGCAAUAGAAAACUAGUACUGAAGAGGAAAAUUAUAAAUAUAAUAUAAAAACUUAAUUAGUAAAUGUUAAAAGUUGUACCUUGUGUAUCAGGGAAAUUUAAAAUAAUUUAGUUAACUAAAAAUCCCGAAGUAAAUAUAGCUAAUUUUAUAAACAAGUUUCUGUGUCAUAAGAAUUUGUAAUAUAAAAUUAAAGAUGAAAUGUUAUACGAGCUUUACAAUAUCUGGUUCUUUAGGAAACAAAUUCAAUUUGAGUCUUAAGUUGAAUUUACUUAAGAGUUUAGAGUAGGAGGGAUUAGCUUCUUUUUCUAAAAAUUGCGUUUUAUAGUUAAUUGGAUAAAAAUUAUCUUCCUAGGCUUAAAAGUAGUCAAGGUAAAAAAGUGUUUUAACUUAAAUAGAAAUUAAAAUUAUUUACACAUUAGCUUAAAUGUUUACUAAAGUAUUAAUUUAAACUUUGUAUUCUAAGAAACAAUAAAUUUAUUAGUAAAAUUAACUGUCUAGAAACAAGUAAAAUAAAAUAUCUAAAAAAUUUACUAAUUCCUGGAAACAAUAAAGCAACUCGGCAAAUAAUUUCUCUGCCUGUUUAUCAAAAACAUGUCUAUUUGGAGGUAUUAAUAGUCUGACCUGCUCACUGACAUUAUAAUGUUAAAGAGCCGCGGUAUCUUGACCGUGCAAAGGUAGCAUAAUCAUUAGUUCUUUAAUUGGGAACUUGUAUGAAUGGUUGGACAAGAGAAAAGCUGUCUCUAUCGUUUAAAUAGAAAUUAACUUUUAAGUGAAAAGGCUUAAAUUUUUCAAGGGGACGAUAAGACCCUAUAAAGCUUUUAUAUGGGAAGUAAAUUUAAUUGAAUUUAAAAACAUAAAAAUUUGGUUUAUGCACUGUAUUUGGUUGGGGCGACGUAGGUAUAAUUUAUAAUAACUGCUUUGAAAUAUUACAAUAAUAUUUGAUUUAUUUCUAAUUGAUCCUUUUUAAAGAUUAAAAGACUAAGUUACUUUAGGGAUAACAGCGUAAUUUUUUUUGAGAGUUCAUAUCGAAGAAAAAGUUUGCGACCUCGAUGUUGAAUUAAAAUGUCUU